GUGCCCUGAGUUCUAGCUCAGACCCCGAGUGCUAUGUUUACACGUGCGACGACCCCUUCGCACCAUUGCACCAGGCCCCGAGUUCUAGUUCAGACCCCAACGCUACGUUUACAUGCACAACGACCCCCCUUUGCACCAUUGCACUGGGCUCUGGGUUCUAGCUCAGACCUCAAGUGCUACGUUUACACGUGCGAUGACCCCCCUUUGCACCAUUGCACCAGGCCCCGAGUUCUACCUCAGACCCCGAGUGCUACGUUUACAUGCGCGACACUUCCCCUCA